AACGUAGGACGCAAGCGUUAUCCGGAAUUACUGGGCGUAAAGCGCGUGUAGGUGGUUUUAUAAGUCACUGUUGAAAGCUCCCGGCUAAACUGGGAGAGGUGCGGUGAGACUGUAGAGCUAGAGUUUGGGAGAGGGGUGCGGAAUUCCGGGUGUAGUGGUGAAAUGCGUAGAGAUCCGGAGGAACACCAGAGGCGAAGGCGGCACCCUGGCCUAAUACUGACACUGAGACGCGAAAGCCAGGGGAGCAAACGGG
rnacentral:rRNA from 1 species